rnacentral:lncRNA from 1 species
CAGUAGUGUAUGAAUGGAAAGCCAGUGAACAAAUUGCACAAUGUGGAUGUGGGGUCACAGAGGAAAGCAGAAAAGAUAACAGUAAGGAAAAGCUAGAAGUGGAAAUGCAUUGCAUCACACACAUACAAAAAUGAAUAUGUUAAUUGCCUGUUAUAAAUAAAUUUGUUUUAGGUGUGAAACCAACUUUCUCCUUUAAUGUUAUUUAUUACCAUCUCUGUAACCCCAAAGCCUUUUGCAGACUGAGGACUCAACUGUACACCCAUGCUGGAGCAGAUUGAGACGGAUGGAGCACGAGGUCCAUGCUCUGUCUUCCUCAUGCUCCACCUCCUCAUGAGGUUCUUCUGGCUCUGUUCCCAGGCGAGAUGGAAUCCAUAGAGCGAAAUGAUGACAAUAAGCUCUCUGGAACAUACCAAGUGAGGUGAUUCAGCGCAGUGUCUCCACACACUGUAAUUAAAAGGCAGGCAGACACACAUUUUCAAUAAUAUGAAGGAAAGUGUUUUCUAAUUGCUGUUUUCUUUUUCUUUUUUUUUUUUUUUUUUUUCCCCAUUUGAAAUACACUUGUUUAACCUGCAGUGCAAUCCAUCUCUUCCUACCAUGUGUCAUCAGUGAAUUGGAAGGUUUAUUCAUGCUCUGUGCUAUACUCCCUCAGCCGUCUCACAGAGAAGCUAUAAG